AUACGGAGGAUGCGAGCGUUAUCCGGAUUUAUUGGGUUUAAAGGGUGCGUAGGCGGACGAUUAAGUCAGCUGUGAAAUGCCCGCGCUUAACGCGGGAAGUGCAGUUGAUACUGGUUGUCUGGAGUGCCGUUGCCGUGGGGGGAAUGUGUAGUGUAGCGGUGAAAUGCAUAGAUAUUACACAGAACGCCGAUUGUGAAGACACCUCACGAAGCGGUAACUGACGCUGAGGCACGAAAGCGUGGGGAUCGAACAGGAUUAGAUACCCUGGUAGUCCGCACAGUAAACGAUGAAUACUUGUUUUCGGCGAUAUAAUGUCGGAGGCAAAGCGAAAGCGAUAAGUAUUCCACCUGGGGAGUACGCCGGCAACGGUGAAACUCAAAUGAAUUGGCGGG
rnacentral:rRNA from 1 species